rnacentral:rRNA from 1 species
UACGUAGGGGGCAAGCGUUGUCCGGAAUCAUUGGGCGUAAAGCGCGCGUAGGCGGCCCGAUAAGUCUGCUGUGAAAGUCCAGGGCUCAACCCUGGAAUGCCGGUGGAUACUGUCGGGCUAGAGUUCGGAAGAGGCAAGUGGAAUUCCUGGUGUAGCGGUGGAAUGCGCAGAUAUCAGGAGGAACACCGGCGGCGAAGGCGGGUCUCUGGGAAGUAACUGACGCUGAGGAGCGAAAGCGUGGGGAGCGAACAGG